rnacentral:rRNA from 1 species
UACGUAGGGUGCAAGCGUUGUCCGGAAUUAUUGGGCGUAAGGAGCUCGUAGGCGGUUUGUCGCGUCUGCUGUGAAAACCCGAGGCUCAACCUCGGGCCUGCAGUGGGUACGGGCAGACUAGAGUGCGGUAGGGGAGAUUGGAAUUCCUGGUGUAGCGGUGGAAUGCGCAGAUAUCAGGAGGAACACCAAUGGCGAAGGCAGAUCUCUGGGCCGUAACUGACGCUGAGGCGCGAAAGCCGGGGGAGCGAACAGGAUUAG